rnacentral:lncRNA from 1 species
CCCGCCCCCGCCCGGCGCGAGCCCCAGGUCCUGGCAGCAGGUGUCUGUGAUAGGGCCCCUGACUUCCUCUCCCCGUCUGAAGACCAGGUGCUGAGGCCUGCCUUGGGCAGCUCAGUGGCUCUGAACUGCACGGCUUGGGUAGUCUCUGGGCCCCACUGCUCCCUGCCUUCAGUCCAGUGGCUGAAAGACGGGCUUCCAUUGGGAAUUGGGGGCCACUACAGCCUCCACGAGUACUCCUGGGUCAAGGCCAACCUGUCAGAGGUGCUUGUGUCCAGUGUCCUGGGGGUCAACGUGACCAGCACUGAAGUCUAUGGGGCCUUCACCUGCUCCAUCCAGAACAUCAGCUUCUCCUCCUUCACUCUUCAGAGAGCUGGCCCUACAAGCCACGUGGCUGCGGUGCUGGCCUCCCUCCUGGUCCUGCUGGCCCUGCUGCU